GCCAGUCCCUCUGAAACUUCUGAAGGCAGCAGAGGCAGCGCAGCAGAGGAAAAGCACCUUAGGUGGCCAUUUUCUGUUUCUGUAAUGGCCGCAGACAGCAGGGGUGAGAUCAUCAUCUAUAAUGGGGGGGCGGUUGGAGCUGCCUGGUGUAAUGGUUCCCCCCUCCACCUCCAUCUCGACUGCUCUGGAGCCGGAGUGGAGGCGCGUGAUGCUGUGCAGGGCCUCGUACAGUCGGACCACAUCUCAAACAGCCCGGGGUCGCUGCACUAAAACCUCGAUGUAGAUCUGGACCUACAAGCGCCAAAACCAAACUGGGACACCGGCUCCAGCCAGCCCCAGCGCUAUAGGCCCCGUUUCCUCCCAGACUAAAUUUGUAAGCGCCCUCCGUCAUUUUGCCCCCUUCACACUCCUCGACAUCUUACAGCGAGUGGGAACGGGUGCCAGGCAGGCAACAACUCCAGACGUCUCGAUUUGUGAACGGGGCAAUUAGUGACUUUUAUUUGUUCGAUUGGAUCGCCUACCCCAACCACCGAGCCACCGCUCAGCCAAACCCGCCCCAGCACGCUCAACUUCCUACUCCGCAACACCAAAGCACAUUCAAAACACACGUUUUGGUCGAACGGCUGUGGAGGAGCUAUGGCCAUAUUGCAUCACUCCAGCGUCCCUGUGACGGUCCAACUUUUACAUGCUGUUCCAAUAAGGCAAAUCACUCAGAAGAGUGAAGUCAACCUUUUAUGAUUUAACAGCUUCCUUCUCUCUUUAGGUUCCUGGGGGUUUCUGGACGAUUCCCAGAGAAUUUGUUCUGUUAAGUUGCUGUUCGGGGGAACUGGCCUGUUCUCUUACUGGAGCUGGUAAAUCUCAUUAACAUUUAAUUCAGACUCUGCAUCAACAGUUGGAUUUCCACAACAGAAAUCGUCAUGCAGCUAUACCGUAACAGGUUAGCGAUGGUUUUUGAUUUGGAACUAAGUCUAUACACAAAAAAAGAUUACAUUGUGAAUGUUGUUUCCUCGUGUUUCUGACAAGCUGUAGCGAUGAUGACCAUGAACAUAUGGGUCAAAUAUUCGCUGACAAUGUAUUUCAUUUAUUUUCUGGACAAAAUAUCCAAUCAUGUAUAAUUCACAUCUGCUCAAAGCGACUGUAGCGUUAUUAAACAUUUUUUUUAUUAUAAUGUUUGGGCAAUGACAGAUUUUGUUUGAGGAAGAUUGUCUUUAAGACAGAGAAAAGUCUGCAGGGAUUUGAGAUACUGUGUGUUUAUUAAUAUAUAACCGAAACCAGGAUCCUUUUUCCUGAAACUUAACCAAAAGAGCUUUUUGUUGCCUUAACCACAUGUGGUGAGGAGUCAGAAUCUGAACCAUGACCCCUGUAUGUCCGAUUCCUAAAUGUUCUUAAAAAUUCAAUUAUCAAAAAAAUUGGGGAAACAGUAUAUGAAUUUAUAAACACAUAAUGCCGAAAGGUGACAGGAUUGAUAUAUUUGACUGUACCUGUGAACUUUGGUUCAAGCCUCAUCUAGGCAGAUUUCAUAUCUGCUGAUAAUUCCAAGAAACUAGAUUGGUUGUGUAUUGUUGGUGUCAGACUUUAUUGUUUACACCUGUUGGUGAUCUGAUCAGCUGUUCACUAGACGGCUGUGUUGUUUGUUAAUAUGUGCAAAGUGUGGUGCAGGUGUUUUCACUUAUUUAGCCUGAUUAAACCUUGAAUUGUUAAGGACUAUGUGGUCCGCGUUGACUGACACCUCGCUCACUCUACUUUUAGCUUUGUUGAACCUGUAGGGGCGGGACUAAAUACACUACCAAUGUCAUCAGUACACCGCUCUCACAGGAGCUGGACCAGCCCGACCAGAUGUCUGAUGACACAGAAUAACAAAAAAUCAGAGCAUUUAUUUUAAUUUAAACAAAAUAUCAGCUUGUCCCUAUCAACUGUGUCUGAUUUGGUUUGUCCACGACCAUGUCAAAAAACUCCACUGUUACUACCGUACAUGUAUUAAAACUCAUUUUAUAAAUUGUAACAAUAAGUUGCUGUUUGUCGACUCAGGUGCUGCUAUUUUGGAUAAACACAAGGGCUUAUAUCUUAAAUGCCCAUUCGCCAUGUGGACAAUUUAAUUAAUUAAUCCAUUCAUUUUUAAAUUCAUUACAAUUUUACAAGUAAUUGAUUUUUAGCUCAACACAAACAAUCAACUUUUAUUACAUAUUUCUCUUAUUGUUGUUUCUGUUUCUUCAUGCAGUGCAUGUCUGUAUCCUGUUUUUUACUUGCCCCAAACUAAAUUACCUUCACAAUUACAAAAUUGUAUUGCAUUGUAUUAAAUUGUAUUGUAUUAUUGUAUAGGCCAACCUGAAUGUCUAGAUUUUUGUUUCAUGUUUUCAUUACUAUUUCCAAUGCAAAUAAAGAACUAAUGAUAACA